CAAAUGUGGUAUCUGAUUGGCUGAGGUCAUGAGGCUGAUCUCCAUCUUAGCAAACAGCCCCUUCAGAGGAAGCUCAUUUGGGAUUUUCAGAAAGUUUGGCUGUUUAAAAUGAAGGAAAAAGGGACAAAGAUUCUGCUUACUCUGUUAGGGAUCCUGUGGAUGCAAGUGACCUGGGUGAUUGGCCAACAGCCGGAGCAGAAUCCUCAGUCCAUGAGUAUCCAAGAGGGAAAGAACUUCACCAUAAGCUGCAAUUCUUCCAGCACUUUGACCUCCUUACUUUGGUAUAGACAAGAACCUGGAAAACAACCAGUUUUGUUGAUGAUCCUUGUUAAAAGCAAGGAAAUAAAGAGUCAGGGGAAAUUUAUUGCCCAGUUUGAUGAACAAAGGAAGCACAGUUUUCUGCACAUCAAAGCCUCCCAGCCCCAAGAUUCAGCCACAUAUCUCUGUGCUUCGAGGCACAGUGUUCCACAGGUGCCCACAACUUCUACACAAACUCUGCAGCUGAGGCUCCAGCAACCUCCUCCUCUCUUCCUUUUACUCUUUGCAUAGUUUUUACAGUGAGUGCCAGAACUCUCAGCCCUUUACAGUAUCAUUGCCUUCCUACUCUAUGAAAGUGAGAAAAGCAAUAUCACCUUUCCUGUUUCCCUGCUCCUUUUCCAUAAUGAAGGACAAACAAGAACAACAACAAUCUACUACCCGGCCUGGUUUCGGCACUGUGGAACUAGAUGAGGAUAGGCUCCUGGGAUAAGCUAAUCACUUCUAAAUUCAUUGUCAUGCAGGAAAAGAUAAUGACCAGUG